rnacentral:rRNA from 1 species
AGAGUUUGAUCAUGGCUCAGAUUGAACGCUGGCGGCAGGCCUAACACAUGCAAGUCGCACGCGAAAGUUCUUCGGAAUGAGUAGAGUGGCGGACGGGUGAGUAACGCGUAGGAAUCCGUCCUGUAGUGGGGGAUAACCCGGGGAAACUCGGGCUAAUACCGCAUACGCCCCACGGGGGAAAGCGGGGGAUCUUCGGACCUCGUGCUAGAGGAGGAGCCUGCGUCGGAUUAGCUAGUUGGUAGGGUAAAGGCCUACCAAGGCGACGAUCCGUAGCUGGUCUGAGAGGAUGAUCAGCCACACCGGAACUGAGACACGGUCCGGACUCCUACGGGAGGCAGCAGUGGGGAAUAUUGCGCAAUGGGCGAAAGCCUGACGCAGCCAUGCCGCGUGUGUGAAGAAGGCCUUCGGGUUGUAAAGCACUUUCAGUGGGGAGGAAAGGGCGCUGGCGAAUACCCAGCGCAGUUGACGCUACCCACAGAAGAAGCACCGGCUAAUUCCGUGCCAGCAGCCGCGGUAAUACGGAAGGUGCGAGCGUUAAUCGGAAUUACUGGGCGUAAAGCGCGCGUAGGCGGCUUGGUAAGUCGGGUGUGAAAGCCCCGGGCUCAACCUGGGAACGGCACUCGAUACUGCUGAGCUGGAGUACGAGAGAGGGGGGUGGAAUUCCAGGUGUAGCGGUGAAAUGCGUAGAGAUCUGGAGGAACACCGGUGGCGAAGGCGGCCCCCUGGUUCGAUACUGACGCUCAUGUGCGAAAGCGUGGGGAGCAAACAGGAUUAGAUACCCCCGUAGUCC